rnacentral:rRNA from 1 species
AUAGCUGUACCACCCUGAAUGCUCCCAAUGUCAUCCGAUCUCGGAAGCUAAGCAGGAUCGGGUCUGGUUAGUACUUGAGUGGGAGAAGACGCCAUCUUGGAAUUAGAUAGCAGCCCUC